GCCGGAGUGGCGGAACGGCAGACGCAGAGGACUUAAAAUCCUCGGCCUUCACGGGCAUGCGGGUUCGAAUCCCGCCUCCGGCACCA
rnacentral:tRNA from 2 species